AAAAGGUGGCUAUGCUACCGCUUUUGGAUGGGCCCGCGGCGCAUUAGCUAGUUGGUGGGGUAAAGGCUUACCAAGGCAAUGAUGCGUAGCCGAACCGAGAGGUUGAUCGGCCACAUUGGGACUGAGACACGGCCCAAACUCCUACGGGAGGCAGCAGUAGGGAAUCUUCCACAAUGGGCGAAAGCCUGAUGGAGCAACGCCGCGUGGGUGAAGAAGGUCUUCGGAUCGUAAAACCCUGUUGUUAGAGAAGAAAGUGCGUGAGAGUAACUGUUCACGUUUCGACGGUAUCUAACCAGAAAGCCACGGCUAACUACGUGCCAGCAGCCGCGGUAAUACGUAGGUGGCAAGCGUUAUCCGGAUUUAUUGGGCGUAAAGGGAACGCAGGCGGUCUUUUAAGUCUGAUGUGAAAGCCUUCGGCUUAACCGGAGUAGUGCAUUGGAAACUGGGAGACUUGAGUGCAGAAGAGGAGAGUGGAACUCCAUGUGUAGCGGUGAAAUGCGUAGAUAUAUGGAAGAACACCAGUGGCGAAAGCGGCUCUCUGGUCUGUAACUGACGCUGAGGUUCGAAAGCGUGGGUAGCAAACAGGAUUAGAUACCCUGGUAGUCCACGCCGUAAACGAUGAAUGCUAAGUGUUGGAGGGUUUCCGCCCUUCA
rnacentral:rRNA from 1 species